ACGGGUGAGUAAUAUAUAGCUAACCUGCCCCUUAGAGAGGGACAACAGUUGGAAACGACUGCUAAUACCUCAUACUCCUUUCUACCAUAAGGUAGAUUGGGAACGCUCCGGCGCUAAGGGAUGGGGCUUUACGGUAUCAGGUAGUUGGUGGGGUAAAAGCCUACCAAGCCAAUGACGCCUAGCUGGUCUGAGAGGAUGAUCAGCCACACUGGAACUGAGACACGGUCCAGACUCCUACGGGAGGCAGCAGUGGGGAAUAUUGCACAAUGGAGGAAACUCUGAUGCAGCAACGCCGCGUGGAGGAUGACGCAUUUCGGUGUGUAAACUCCUUUUAUAUCCCAAGAUAAUGACGGUAGGAUAUGAAUAAGCACCGGCUAACUCCGUGCCAGCAGCCGCGGUAAUACGGAGGGUGCAAGCGUUAAUCGGAAUUACUGGGCGUAAAGCGCGCGUAGGCGGUUGUUUAAGUUGGAUGUGAAAGCCUACGGCUCAACCGUAGAACUGCAUCCAAAACUAUCAGGCUAGAGUGUGGGAGAGGAGGAUGGAAUUAGUUGUGUAGGGGUAAAAUCCGUAGAGAUAACUAGGAAUACCAAAAGCGAAGGCAAUCUUCUGGAACACUACUGACGCUGAGGCGCGAAAGCGUGGGGAGCAAACGGGAUUAGAUACCCCGGUAGUCCACGCAGUAAACGAUGAAUGUUAGUCGUCGGGUAGCUAGUCUAUUCGGUGAUGCAGCUAACGCAUUAAACAUUCCGCCUGGGGAGUACGGUCGCAAGAUUAAAACUCAAAGGAAAUAGGACGGGGCACCCGGCACAAGGUGGUGGAGCAUGUGGUUUAAUUUCGAAGAUACGGCGAAGAACCUUACCUAGCCUUGACAUAUUUGAAAAAUCCCACCAGAGAUUGGAGGAGUGCCUUCGGGAGCUAAUUUACAGGUGCUGCACGGCUGUCGUCAGCUCGUGUCGUGAGAUGUUGGGUUAAGUCCCGCAACGAGCGCAACCCUCGCUAAUAGUUAAUAACGAUUCGGUCGAUGACUCUAUUAGGACUGCCUUCGCAAGAAGGAGGAAGGUGAGGGACGACGUCAAGUCAUCAUGGCCCUUACGUGUAGGGCUACAAACGUGCUACAAUGGGCAGGACAAUGAGAAGCAAUACCGCGAGGUGGAGCAAAUCUAUAAACCUGUUCUCAGUUCGGAUUGUAGUCUGCAACUCGACUACAUGAAGCUGGAAUCACUAGUAAUCGUAGAUCAGCUAUGCUACGGUGAAUACGUUCCCGGGUCUUGUACUCACCGCCCGU
rnacentral:rRNA from 1 species